AUGGAAGGCAUUCCACAUUUUAAUCCAAAAAAAAAAGCAUUCCACAUGCGUUCGGCAAACUGUGUGCCGAAAUUAAGGCAAAAGCUGGGGUCCUCCGGCAUCCACGCCACAAGCGGAUGGUCUUGUACUUUCCGGCGUAUAAAGUUCUCAUUGUGGCACAUUAGAUGUUUGUCGAUUUGCUUCACUUAUAUAAGAAUGGGAACGGGUUAUACGCGCAACCGCAGAGAACCAGGGAAGGAAUUGAGGGAAAGUGUUUUUCCUUGUACCGACAAAUUCUUUAGAAGCCUCAACUCCCCUAUUCUCCCACUAACCCAUGCCACUCGCUUGGCCAAGAAGAGGGAGGUCUUCUUGUUUGGAUCAGAGGAGCGAUCCCUCCACAGCAUUGCCGAUCACAUGGAUGCUGCUCGCUACUCCCUAUCCAUCCUUUAAAAAGGCCACGUCCUUUGGUAUAUAAGACAUAAUACAUCUCCUGUGAGUCUUCUUACCUCUCACCCUAAUUUCGUUUAAUAUCUGGGAAAUUCUUUUGUUUUUACAUUUAUAUAACAUAACUGUUGAAGCAAGGCUCUUUUUU